GACGAACGCUGGCGGCGUGCUUAACACAUGCAAGUCGAACGGAAAGGCCCUGCUUUUGUGGGGUGCUCGAGUGGCGAACGGGUGAGUAACACGUGAGUAACCUGCCCUUGACUUUGGGAUAACUUCAGGAAACUGGGGCUAAUACCGGAUAGGAGCUCCUGCUGCAUGGUGGGGGUUGGAAAGUUUCGGCGGUUGGGGAUGGACUCGCGGCUUAUCAGGUUGUUGGUGGGGUAGUGGCUUACCAAGGCUUUGACGGGUAGCCGGCCUGAGAGGGUGACCGGCGACAUGGGGACUGAGAUACGGCCCAGACGCCUACGGGAGGCAGCAGUGGGGAAUAGUGCACAAUGGGCGGAAGCCUGAGGCAGCAACGCCGCGUGCGGGAUGACGGCCUUCGGGUUGUAAACCGCUUUCGCCUGCGACGAAGCGUUAGUGACGGUAAUGGGUAAAGAAGCACCGGCUAACUACGUG
rnacentral:rRNA from 1 species